rnacentral:rRNA from 1 species
CUUUGACGUUAGCGGCGGACGGGUGAGUAACACGUGGGUAACCUACCUAUAAGACUGGGAUAACUUCGGGAAACCGGAGCUAAUACCGGAUAAUAUUUCGAACCGCAUGGUUCGAUAGUGAAAGGUGGUUUUGCUAUCACUUAUAGAUGGACCCGAGCCGUAUUAGCUAGUUGGUAAGGUAACGGCUCACCAAGGCGACGAUACGUAGCCGACCUGAGAGGGUGAUCGGCCACACUGGAACUGAGACACGGUCCAGACUCCUACGGGAGGCAGCAGAA